AAAAAAAAAAGAAAAAAGAAAACGAAAAAAAAUAAAUAAAUAAUUUUUUACAAAAAAAUAAAUAAAUAAAAAUAAUAAUAAUAAAAAAUAAAUAAAAUAUAAUAAAAAAUUUUGGACUUGGGUCUCUCUCAUUUGAGCCCACAAAACCAUGAAAUUCAGUCUAUAAAUACCAAGGCUUCACUUGAGAAAAAGGAAGAGAAGCAAAAUACUCUGAGGUUUCCUUGGAACAAAN
rnacentral:lncRNA from 1 species